rnacentral:lncRNA from 1 species
CUUCCCUGGUUUAUAAGGAUUCGUGACAAUUGAGGUAUUUUUGGAGGGUCAGACUUUAGGCAGGUAAGGAAAGCACAGGGAAAGCCUCUUCCCGCCUGCUGUUCUCCAGGUGCCCUCAGUUCAAGGUAAUCAGCCCGCCAAAGCAUCUUGUUUUGGGCUGGCAUUUCCUGAACUCCUUCAGUGGUUAAGCUCAGGGAUCUGGAGUUGGCAAUUCUGGUGUGCUUUAACCUUGGACAAGUAACUCAGCCACUUUUUACGUUGAGUAGGUGUCCUGACCUCCUUGAACCCAUUUCAUCAUCUUUAUUUGUGUCCCAG